rnacentral:lncRNA from 1 species
CCAAUUUGAUUAGUCAGGCCUGAUGCUUACGGAGGGCAGUGUCCAGCCAGACGUGAGGAAGAGGGGCUGAAAAGAAAGGCGUUUCCCAGGGCUGACCUCUCACGGCCGGUCCCCGCAGGAGAGCACAGCCCGAUUUCCUAUAGGAAGUGACACUAACCGACAUCCCCGUCUUCGCUAGGUGCGGGCACCUGGGUACAGGGGUACCCCUCCGUCUCUGCGGUUCCGUCAAACCACUCCCGCAGAGGGACGGGUCCCGGGCGUACCCACCCCGCUGCCGGGAAGACCGAAGUCACCUCGCUCCGUCCCGGCUGAAGCGCUCUCAGGCACUCUCAGACAACGACGGCGGCAGAAAGAGAAGAAAAGAAAAAACCCCACAGUUAUGCCGUCACUCGGAUUCGAGCCGAGAAUCCUGCGACCCCAGCGCAGAGUACUAACUAACGCAGAUCGAAUAGUAAUUCGAUCACGGCCACCCAACGCCCUGCGCCAUCACCGUGCACGUGGGCCCACCCUUACCUCACUCUACCAUCCAUGUUCUCAGUGGUAAGGGGAUGGAUGGUAAACUCGCCGCCGAAAAGUAAAGCGGCGAUGGUGCGGCAAAACGAUACUCAGUAACCUCCCCGCCGAUGAAACGAACCCCGGUCUCCCGUGGGACAGGCGGGGAUACUUACCACUAUACUAACGCAUACCGAUCCCAAUGGUAGGGAAUUAGUCUCCACCUAGAAGACGGGAAACACCUGAGGGAAAAUAGCGGCCACCCGGGGGCCGUCACGGAGCCGUGGGCACUACCGUGCCAGAGCGGGCACGGAAGGAGACCGUACCGAGGCUUUCGUAACUACCUGCGGCCCGCAACCUCCUGCGUUUGCCUUGUUCUGAGCUUGAACACGAGGUUUACGGUGAGACCCGCCUCACGGAGCGAUUUGCAGGGUAUGGCUGACAGGGAAACCCACCCCAUGGCCACCAAAUCCAUCAACCUGUUGUCUGCCAUCGUGAGAAGCGUGGUUUGCUGGGUGGUUUACAUUCAGAACUUUCAGAUAGUCUCCCAAGGGUAGCUAGUUUUUCCUCACUAGAAAGGCAGCAAAGUUGGCACUGUAAUUGGUUUCACUACCAAAAAAAGAAGGGUGGGGGGGGGAAACUAACAAUUUAAAUACAUCAUUUCUUGUACCGUUACACAGUCUUGGGGGGGAUCAGGAACCCGCAGAACGCUGACAUCAGAAGCUGGCGUUUUAAAGACCUAUUUGUAAGCAGUUUCUGCCAUGCACAUGCAUCUUUUUGCUCCACCUGUCGCCAAAAGCAUCGGGAUAAAUCAAACACUAUGUUUUAGUAUUAGAAAGUAGGCAUUGCUUUAUUUGCAGUGCUGGCACGCAUGUAUAUAACUCUGACUAGAUGCAGGGCCACUUUCAAAACUUUUCACUUAUUUAUGCAUUUUUAUCAAACGAAGAAAUUAAUGUCCACUGGUUAUAAAUGAUAUCAUUAUUUUCAUUAAAUAGUAUUCUAUGUUCUAUUGGUUAUUGAUUUCUCAUUGUGCACUUUUUCAGUCUUUUUAC